rnacentral:rRNA from 1 species
AACGAACGCUGGCGGCAUGCCUAACACAUGCAAGUCGAACGAGACCUUCGGGUCUAGUGGCGCACGGGUGCGUAACGCGUGGGAAUCUACCCUUGGGUUCGGAAUAACAGUUAGAAAUGACUGCUAAUACCGGAUGAUGACGUAAGUCCAAAGAUUUAUCGCCCAAGGAUAGGCCCGCGUAAGAUUAGCUUGUUGGUGGGGUAAUGGCCUAACAAGGCGACGAUCUUUAGCUGGUCUGAGAGGAUGAUCAGCCACACUGGGAAUGAGACACGGCGCAGACUCCUCCGGAAGGCAGAAGUGGGGAAUAUGGAACAAUGGGCGAGAGCCUGAUCCAGCAAUGCCGCGUGGGUGAUGAAGGCCUGAGGGUUGUAAAGCUCUUUUACCAUGGAUGAUAAUGACAGUACCUGGAGAAUAAGCUCCGGCUAACUCCGUGCCAGCCGCCGCAGUAA